rnacentral:lncRNA from 1 species
UGUUUUCAAGAUAAAAUAAUGAAUAAUAAAGAGGUCUCUCUGGAAACUGUUGCUGUUACUAUAAUGAUUCUAAUAGCAUCUACAAUGUCCUGUCUGUUUGUCUGUGUGGGGAGCUGAUCAAGCAGAAAUACAAACUAGUGAAGCAACUGACAGGCAGGUCUUUGUGGUAGAAUGGCAGCUCAAACAAAAGGAUGUGUCUGUCCGUCUACCUCGGAUCUGAAGACACUGAACGGUUUCCCAAGGCAACAGUCCUCCUUUAUUUUGCCAUCUUGCCUCUAAUGCGAACACAGCAUCUAUCUGAUCAAGCUGGGGUGAAGAAGAAGAAGAAGAAGAAGAAGGAGGAAGAGGAGGAGGAGGGAGAGGUAGGACAGGGAGGAGAGGCAGAAGAGGGAGAGAGAGAUAGGGAGAAAGAUUGAGGGAGAAACUAUUAACACAGUAGUUUAAUAUUUGAUAGGGCCAGUGUGACAUGUUUGGAGCGUUGUGAAUUCAUACUGUGGGGAACAGGGGAGAUGGUUGGCAUUAGCCUGAAAUCCUCAUGCGAUUGGCGCUGCAGAAAAGUUACCCACAUUACACAUUCAAGGCAACUGUUGUUGUUUCAGUAUAAUUAAGACUGGUUAGAGAGGGUAUUAGAAACUAGAUACAGUUAGUUAGACAGGCCUGGUGUGCAAGCAAAUGCCCCAAAUAAACAUCACAGGCUGGCUGAAUCACUAUGGUUGCUAUGGGAGUUAUGUAAGGGAUAAUCAACAAGGGGCUAUGCGUUCUAUGGUAAAUAAUGAACGACGUGGAAAGUGUGUUCCAAGAUGUUUUAGCGGAGUGGCGCCAACCUUCGACGGAGAUGCAUUAUUUUCCAGAGAAAGCAUAGAGCCAUGGUAUAAUAUUACAGAACUAAUAAAGUAUUCAUCUGUAUUGGGGAAUUAUCUUGGAUAAUGAAUGAGGUGGAACAUAGGUGAGAUUAAUAAAACACAUAGGGCUGUAUAGUUGGACAAUAGUGCUCUUAAUCAGAUAGACAAUAGCUGCAUUCAACUCUGGAGGUGGAGGACAAACUGAAAGUCAAACUGAAAACAGUCAAUUGGGAGAAAAAGAAACGCUUGAUAGAUGUUUCAGAGAUUACCAGGGGGCGGAGUUAAGAGAAUGAAUAGCAGGUUGUAGAGCCUAUCCUUCACAACUCACAACUCAGUUAAACUAUGUUCUCCAGAAGCACUGCACCCGUCCAUUCAGGUCAGAGUAUUAGGUGUAGCUACCUCCAGAGAGUUUGUCAGUUAAACUAUGUUCUCCAGAAGCACUGCACACGUCCAUUCAGGUCAGAGUAUUAUCAUCAUCCGAAGGAAGAAGACGUACAUUUCUCAGGACUUUUUAUUGUCGACAGUGACAUCAAUGUCUGAAUGUUGUGCGUGUAUCGAAC